rnacentral:rRNA from 1 species
UAAUAUAUCGGAACGUACCCUGGAGUGGGGGAUAACGUAGCGAAAGUUACGCUAAUACCGCAUACGAUCUAAGGAUGAAAGUGGGGGAUCGCAAGACCUCAUGCUCCUGGAGCGGCCGAUAUCUGAUUAGCUAGUUGGUAGGGUAAAAGCCUACCAAGGCAUCGAUCAGUAGCUGGUCUGAGAGGACGACCAGCCACACUGGAACUGAGACACGGUCCAG